CCUACGGGAGGCAGCAGUGGGGAAUUUUGGACAAUGGGCGCAAGCCUGAUCCAGCAAUGCCGCGUGCAGGAUGAAGGCCUUCGGGUUGUAAACUGCUUUUGUACGGAACGAAACGGUGAGCUCUAAUACAGUUUGCUAAUGACGGUACCGUAAGAAUAAGCACCGGCUAACUACGUGCCAGCAGCCGCGGUAAUACGUAGGGUGCGAGCGUUAAUCGGAAUUACUGGGCGUAAAGCGUGCGCAGGCGGUGAUGUAAGACAGAUGUGAAAUGCCCGGGCUCAACCUGGGACCUGCAUUUGUGACUGCAUCGCUAGAGUACGGUAGAGGGGGGAUGGAAUUCCGCGUGUAGCAGUGAAAUGCGUAGAUAUGCGGAGGAACACCGAUGGCGAAGGCAAUCCCCUGGACCUGUACUGACGCUCAUGCACGAAAGCGUGGGGAGCAAACAGGAUUAGAUACCCUGGUAGUCCACGCCCUAAACGAUGUCAACUGGUUGUUGGGGUCUUCACUGACUCAGUAACGAAGCUAACG
rnacentral:rRNA from 1 species